rnacentral:rRNA from 1 species
GUAGUUAGCCGGGGCUUCCUCCUUGGCUACCGUCACUUUCUUCGUCACCAAGGACAGAGGUUUACAACCCGAAAGCCUUCUUCCCUCACGCGGCGUUGCUGGGUCAGGCUUGCGCCCAUUGCCCAAUAUUCCCCACUGCUGCCUCCCGUAGGAGUCUGGACCGUGUCUCAGUUCCAGUGUGGCCGAUCAGCCUCUCAGCUCGGCUACCCAUCGUUGGCUAGGUGGGCCGUUACCCCGCCUACUACCUAAUGGGACGCGAACCCCUCCUUUAGCGGAUUUCUCCUUUGACCUCUGUGUCAUGCGGCACUGUGGUCUUAUGCGGUAUUAGCACCUGUUUCCAAGUCGUUAUCCCCCUCUAAAGGGCAGGUUGUUCACGCGUUACUCACCCGUUCGCCACUGAUCCGGAGGAGCAAGCUCCUCCCAUCUCCGUUCGACUUGCAUGUGUUAAGCACGCCGCCAGCGUUCAUCCUAAGCCAUGAUCAAACUCUGA